rnacentral:rRNA from 1 species
GACGAACGCUGGCGGCGUGCUUAACACAUGCAAGUCGAACGGAAAGGCCCGGCUUUUGUGGUGUGCUCGAGUGGCGAACGGGUGAGUAACACGUAAGUAACCUGCCCUGUACUUGGGGAUAACUUCAGGAAACUGUAGCUAAUACCGCAUAGGAGCUCCUGCUGCAUGGUGUGUGUUGGAAAGUUUCGGUGGUUGGGGAUGGACUCGCGGCUGAGGAGCUUGUUGGUGGGGUAGUGGCUUCGCAAGGCUUUGACGGGUAGCCGUACUGGGAGGGUGACAGGCCACAGUGGGACUGAGAUAGGGGCCAGACGGAUACGGGAGGAAGCAGUGGGGGAUUGUGCACAAUGGGCGGAAGCCGGAUGCAAGAAUGCCGCGUGGGGGAUCACGGUUUUCGGGGUGGAAACCGCUUGCGCCUGUGACGAAGCGAGAGUGACGGUAAUGGGUAAAGAAGCACCGGCUAACUACGUG